GAUAGGAGGUGAGUAGAAGGCUGUUCUGUGUGUAGAACAUUCCUGGGUGUUAUAUUGUCUGAUCACCCCUUUGCUGCCCUGGAUGUUGUUUUGUACAUUUCUCAAGUAUUGCGUGUGUGUGUGUGUGUGUGUGUGCGCACGCGCGCGCGCACGCGCGCACAAUGUGUGCAUCUUGCAAAUAUCCAACUAAACUCUAAACUUCAUUGUAGGCCAGAACCUUGUCUCCGUGUGCUCAUUAUUGCCCUAAACAGAGGGCCUGCGCAGUACCCAGCACCAGGUAAACACUGAACGUCUGCCACGUCGACUUCUGCAUUUGUUUACGCUCUUCCUUAAAGACUGUUAGAGCUAAAGAUGGCUCGAGCUGUUAAGAAAUUCCUUCCCCGUCUCUGGUACUAUAGUGGCUCAUGAGCUUCUUUCGAUUAUGUUUCUUGUUGUCUUGGAAUCUGGCCUAUAAACAGAGAAUGCUAAGUGCACACCACAUCACAAUCAGCAAGGACUGGUCUUCACAGCUGACACGGAGAAUGGAAUGUGCUCCCUUUGUAGAGAUCGUGGCCCUGGAGAGAAGGUUCAAAUUUUCAUGAGCCAAACAACCGAUCAUAGCACCUUCCUGCCACCCAGGAUGUCCUGACUUCUAUAUGGGAACCAUCUGGGCCACCAUCAUGUGGUGUACAUCAUGAUCACCAUCAGUAAACUCGGAACAUCAUUGAAUUCCAAGAUCAAAGGAAACCUUAAAGAAAUGAAUGAGGCAACAUGUAGCCUAUUUUCUACUAGUGAGCAACUUACAUCCAUGAUGAAGCCAACACUCUUAUCAGAAGAGAGACAAAAGGAACUUGGAUCCUUGAUCACAUCGCUGAACUGGAAGAACCCAUCCUGACACACACUUCCAAGCACGUAAGCCAAUAAACGUACUUACUCGUGAA